UACGAAGGGGGCUAGCGUUGCUCGGAAUCACUGGGCGUAAAGCGCACGUAGGCGGCUUCUUAAGUCAGGGGUGAAAUCCUGGAGCUCAACUCCAGAACUGCCCUUGAUACUGAGGAGCUCGAGUCCGGAAGAGGUGAGUGGAACUGCGAGUGUAGAGGUGAAAUUCGUAGAUAUUCGCAAGAACACCAGUGGCGAAGGCGGCUCACUGGGGCGGUACUGACGCUGAGACGCGAAAGCGUGGGGAGCGAACAGG
rnacentral:rRNA from 1 species